GUUUCAGUAGGUCUGGUUGUCUGCCAACACCCAUAAGAACAAAAGCUCAAAAGUUUAGAUUUGUUACAUCAGAAUGGAGUAAAUUUCUGAAAAAAGUUUUAAUAAAAACUAAAGAUUCAGUAACUUGUUACCCAUGGCAAUAUCUAAACGUUAAUCAUAUCAGCAGAGCAUUUGUUAAUAAUAGUUUAUUACUUCCAGAGCAUAGACAUUAACUGGGGAAACUCACCAUAUGAAAAGUGCACCUAAUAGUUCAGAUCACAUUAAAAAUAGCAUUCCAUUUUUAUGGAACAAACAAAUUCAGGUGUGAUUUCACUCUUGAACGUCUGAAAUCAAAGGCAAAACAACUUUUUGCCCAAAUGAGGUAGUUAAUAUUUUUUAUCAGUAGCAUCAAUUUUAAAAACAUAUCGAGGGGAAAAAUAGGCUUUCAUGAUAUGGGGCUUAUUUUCCUAUUCACUAACAUGGGUUCAGAAAAACAACUCAAAGCUUUAUGAAAUGAAGUUUCAAAAAUUUUGCUUGACAAUUGGGCUCUAGGUGAAGAAUUCAUAAUUUAAAACAGUGCAAUAUUAUUUAAUAUAUCAGACAUGUACAGAAGUCGCAUUAAAUGUCCUUAUCACCU
rnacentral:misc_RNA from 1 species